GAGAGGGGGAACAGACAGAGGAGGUGUGAGAGGGAGAACAGAUAGAGGAGGUGUGAGAGGGGGAACAGAUAGAGGAGGUGUGAGAACAGAUAGAGGAGGUGUGAGAGGAAGAACAGAUAGAGGAGGUGUGAGAGGGAGAACAGAUAGAGGAGGUGUGAGAGGAAGAACAGAUAGAGGAGGUGUGAUAGGGAGAGCAGACAGAGGAGGUGUGAGAACAGAUAGAGGAGGUGUGAUAGGGAGAGCAGACAGAGGAGGUGUGAGAACAGAUAGAGGAGGUGUGAGAGGGAGAACAGAUAGAGGAGGUGUGAGAACAGAUAGAGGAGGUGUGAGAGGGAGAACAGACAGAGGAGGUGUGAGAGGGGGAACAGACAGAGGAGGUGUGAGAGGGGGAACAGAUAGAG
rnacentral:lncRNA from 1 species